AUUGUCUUCCCUAUUCCUUUUUUAAGAUAAUACACACAAUAAGUUUGAACAAGUGAGGAUCUGAAAAACUAAAACUUUGAAGAGUAAAGAGGGUUGAUAACACUUAUUGGAGAUGCUUAUAUUCUGGAACCACACACAAUGGUUAAGAUCCUAGAAUCAGUCGCAGAUGUGGUUUCAGAGUCUCAAGCGGUCAUCAUAACACGAAGGAAAGGAACAAAAGAGCAGCAAAGGAGAAAGUACGAAAGUAUCCAAGAAAUUUAGAAGCGUUCUUUGGAUCCAUUUGCAGCUAGAAACCAUGGUGUGAGUUAAUUUAGGGUGGCAGAGCAGGGGACCAUAAAAAUUCGGUGGUCCACCGAGGUUAAUUCUUCUUAUUUCUUGCAUGAUAGGAAGACCCACAUGCAUUGUAUUUACAUUUUACAUGGUUCAAACCUCCCUCUCUAGACAAACACUGAAACACCUCAAUAUCACAACCCCUUGUUCACGUGGAACAUACCUGUUUGUGUUGAAAAACACUUGUGUAAACUAAAAUGGACUAGGGUUUGGGGUGCCCAAGAAAGGACUCCCUCCAUUGAAAACGCUGUUGAGAGUGUUUGAAUUUCUGCAGGUGCGUGCAGACCUUUACUUUUGAUAGGUUUUUAUGACAAAACAUGAAUGCUUUUGUCCAUGGUUGGGCCAAAAGGCUGAAGUUAGCAGUUAAUGGAGGAGGGUCCUUUCUGAUGUAAAUGCAGACCUUUCCUCACCCGUUUGCUGCAAAGUUUUAACUCCAACUAUUCAAUGUUGUUGAUUUAAUUUCCAUAUCUUUAAUUUUGUUGUGUUGGCGCUUAGCACAUAUGAGGUUAUGACUUUGGUUACAAGCUUGAUGAAGUUGGAUUCUUCUAAACACUAUCUAAGGGGUGGAUCCCUGUGCCCCUCCCCAAAAACAAAAAAACAAAAAGAUUUCUUGUUCCUUGU